GGCUCCGUGGCGCAAUGGAUAGCGCAUUGGACUUCUAAUUCAAAGGUUGUGGGUUCGAGUCCCACCGGAGUCG